GAUGAACGCUGGCGGCGUGCCUAAUACAUGCAAGUCGAGCGAACGGACGAGAAGCUUGCUUCUCUGAUGUUAGCGGCGGACGGGUGAGUAACACGAGGAUAACCUACCUAUAAGACUGGGAUAACUUCGGGAAACCGGAGCUAGUACCGGAUAAUAUUUUGAACCGCAUGGUUCAAAAGUGAAAGACGGUCUUGCUGUCACUUAUAGGUGGAUCCGCGCUGCAUUAGCUAGUUGGUAAGGUAACGGCUUACCAAGGCAACGAUGCAUAGCCGACCUGAGAGGGUGAUCGGCCACACUGGAACUGAGACACGGUCCAGACUCCUACGGGAGGCAGCAGUAGGGAAUCUUCCGCAAUGGGCGAAAGCCUGACGGAGCAACGCCGCGUGAGUGAUGAAGGUCUUCGGAUCGUAAAACUCUGUUAUUAGGGAAGAACAUAUGUGUAAGUAACUGUGCACAUCUUGACGGUACCUAAUCAGAAAGCCACGGCUAACUACGUG
rnacentral:rRNA from 1 species